AUUGAACGCUGGCGGCAGGCCUAACACAUGCAAGUCGAACGGUAACAGGAAGAAGCUUGCUUCUUUGCUGACGAGUGGCGGACGGGUGAGUAAUGUCUGGGAAACUGCCUGAUGGAGGGGGAUAACUACUGGAAACGGUAGCUAAUACCGCAUAACGUCGCAAGACCAAAGAGGGGGACCUUCGGGCCUCUUGCCAUCGGAUGUGCCCAGCUGGGAUUAGCUAGUAGGUGGGGUAACGGCUCACCUAGGCGACGAUCCCUAGCUGGUCUGAGAGGAUGACCAGCCACACUGGAACUGAGACACGGUCCAGACUCCUACGGGAGGCAGCAGUGGGGAAUAUUGCACAAUGGGCGCAAGCCUGAUGCAGCCAUGCCGCGUGUAUGAAGAAGGCCUUCGGGUUGUAAAGUACUUUCAGCGGGGAGGAAGGGAGUAAAGUUAAUACCUUUGCUCAUUGACGUUACCCGCAGAAGAAGCACCGGCUAACUCCGUG
rnacentral:rRNA from 1 species